rnacentral:rRNA from 1 species
AUCGAACGCUGGCGGCAGGCCUAACACAUGCAAGUCGAGCGAGCGGCGGACGGGUGAGUAAUGUAUGGGGACUGCCCGAUAGAGGGGGAUAACUGGUGGAAACGGUGGCUAAUACUGCUAACUAUCGGAUAGCUCAUAUGGGAUUAGCUAGUAGGGGGGGUAAAGGCUCACCUAGGCGACGAUCCCUAGCUGGUCUGAGAGGAUGAUCGGCCACACUGGGACUGAGACACGGCCCAGACUCCUACGGAGGCAGCAGUGGGGAAUCUUGCACAAUGGGCGCAAGUCUGAUGCAGCAAUGCCGCGUGUAUGAAGAAGGCCUUAGGGUUGUAAAGUACUUUCAGCGGGGAGGCGUUACCCACAGAAGAAGCACCGGCUAACUCCGUGCCAGCAGCCGCGGUAAUUC